AUGAAACAGGUGCUGCUCAUUUUACUUCCUUUCCUUACCCCGACCGCUUGUGUCCUCUCUGAAGUAAAGCUGGUCCAGUCUGGUCCUGGAACCGUGAAGCCCGCAGAAUCUCUCCAGCUGGCAUGUGCCGCCUCUGGUUUCUCCAUUGCGAGUAGCGGUUACGCUCACCACUGGGUCCGACAGGCUCCUGGGAAAGGGCUGGAGUGGCUGGGUUACAUCAAUGUGUAUUACUCCACCUCCGGCUCCAUCCCCUCCCUCCAGAGCCGAAUCUCCAUCACCACCGACAAUUCCAAGAACGAGCUGUACCUGCAGCUGCGCUCGCUGACAGCUGCAGACAGCGGCACCUAUUACUGCGCCAGGCAGUGA